CCGGAAAAGCUGCGCGAGGAGCCCCUCGACUGACCGUACCGCAAACCGACUCAGGUGGGCGGGGUGAGUAUCCCAAGGCGCGUGAGAGAACGCUGGUUAAGGAACUCGGCAAAUUAACACCGUAACUUCGGGAGAAGGUGUGCCCUUUGACGUGCAGGACUUUACGUCUGAAGCGUUGGGGGGUUGCAGAGAAACGGGGGUUGCGACUGUUUACUAAAAACACAGGACUCUGCGAACUCGCAAGAGGACGUAUAGGGUCUGACGCCUGCCCGGUGCUGGAAGGUUAAGGGGAGUUGUCAGCGUAAGCGAAGCAACGAACUGAAGCCCCAGUAAACGGCGGCCGUAACAAUAACGGUCCUAAGGUAGCGAAAUUCCUUGUCGGGUAAGUUCCGACCUGCACGAAUGGCGUAACGACAUCCCCACUGUCUCGACCAGCGACUCAGCGAAAUUGUAAUCGCGGUGAAGAUACCGUGUACCCGCGGCAAGACGGAAAGACCCCAUGAACCUUUACUGCAACUUGACAGUGAAGCUCGGGACAGACUGCGUAGGAUAGGUGGGAGGCUGUGAAGCCGGGAUUCUGGUCUCGGCUGAGCCAACCUUGAAAUACCACCCUGUUUGUUCUGGGCUUCUAACCCAGGCGUGUAAGCCACGCCGGGGACACUGUCUGGUGGGCAGUUUGACUGGGGCGGUCGCCUCCCAAAAAGUAACGGAGGCGCGCGACGGUUCCCUCAGGCUGAUUGGAAACCAGCCGUAGAGUGUAAUGGCAUAAGGGAGCUUGACUGUGAGACCGACAGGUCGAGCAGGUGCGAAAGCAGGUCAUAGUGAUCCGGCAGUUCUGUAUGGAAGGGCUGUCGCUCAUCGGACAAAAGGUACUCUGGGGAUAACAGGCUGAUCGCGCCUGAGAGUUCAUAUCGGCGGCGCGGUUUGGCACCUCGAUGUCGGCUCAUCGCAUCCUGGGGCUGGAGCAGGUCCCAAGGGUUUGGCUGUUCGCCAAUUAAGGCGGUACGCGAGCUGGGUUUAGAACGUCGUGAGACAGUUCGGUCCCUAUCUGCCGUGGGCGUAGGAUACUUGAGAGGGUCUAACCAUAGUACGAGAGGACCUGGUUGGACGUACCUCUGGUGAUCCGGUUGUUCCGCCUGGAGCAUCGCCGGGUAGCUAUGUACGGAAUGGAUAACCACUGAAAGCAUCUAAGUGGGAAGCCAGCCUCAAGAUGAGGUAUCCCGGGGCCUUGAGCCCCCUGAAGGCCCGUCGAAGACUACGACGUAAUAGGCUGGGUGUGGAAGCGCAGCAAUGUGUGGAGCUAACCAGUACUAAUCGGCCGUGAGGCUUGACCC
rnacentral:rRNA from 1 species